UGCGUAGGGAACCCGGGUGAAAGCCCUGGGGGUGCCCCGGCGAGGGGAGCCCUAGCACAGGUGCUGCAUGGCCGUCGUCAGCUCGUGCCGUGAGGUGUUGGGUUAAGUCCCCGCAACGAGCGCAACCCCCGCCGUUAGUUGCCAGCGGUUCGGCCGGGCACUCUAACGGGACUGCCCGCGAAAGCGGGAGGAAGGAGGGGACGACGUCUGGUCAGCAUGGCCCUUACGGCCUGGGCGACACACGUGCUACAAUGCCCACUACAAAGCGAUGCCACCCGGCAACGGGGAGCUAAUCGCAAAAAGGUGGGCCCAGUUCGGAUUGGGGUCUGCAACCCGACCCCAUGAAGCCGGAAUCGCUAGUAAUCGCGGAUCAGCCAUGCCGCGGUGAAUACGUUCCCGGGCCUU
rnacentral:rRNA from 1 species